CGCCCCUGGAAAGUCACAGUACGCAAGCGCUGGAGCCUCCCCACUCAGGGCAGGCUUGUCAAGACUGCACACAGGUGUGGGUCCUGUUCGGAGCCCAAAAGGCGGCCCGUGGGUUUCCGGUUCCGGGAGUAAUCAACGGCCGCAGAGGCUACAAAACUAGUGCUUUGGUGGAGCCUGCGUUGGAGGAGGAGGAGGAAGAGUGGACCAGGCGGGGCGCCCGGGGCGGGAUCGUCCCCAUGGGUCCACGGGCCUAGCGCGGUGGAAGCUAAGGGCCUCCUGUCCUGCUGGCGUUUCUUCAUUUCUGAAGUACCUAUGGCUGAGGACUGGCAGGACUGCCCAGCCCUGGGCCCUGGUUGGAAGCGACGUGAGGCCUUUCGAAAAUCAGGGGCCUCUUGUGGACGCUCAGACAUCUAUUAUCAGAGCCCCACAGGAGAUAAGAUCCGAAGCAAAGUUGAGCUGACUCGAUACCUCGGCCCUGCGUGUGAUCUUACCCUCUUUGACUUCAGACAAGGCAUCUUGUGCUAUCCAGCUCCCAAGACCCAUCCUGUGGCUGUCCCCAGCAAGAAGAAGAAGAAUAAGAAUAAGAAGAAGCAGCAGCAGCAGCCUUCUACACCAGCCAAGGCUAAGAAAUGUCAGGUUGGACCCCAGAAGAGUGAGGUCAGGAAAGAGACCCAACGGGAUGGGAAUAAGGCUGGCACUGGCACUGGCACUGGUACAGCUCCAGCUUCAUUACCUGCUCCUGGGUGCUGUGAAAAUUGUGGAAUCCACUUCUCAUGGGAUAUCAAAAGGCAGAGGCUCAAGGCAUUGUGCAAAGACUGCCGAGCACAGAGAAUUGCCUUCAACCGAGAACAGAGAAUGUUUAGGAGAGUUGGCUGUGGAGAGUGUACAGCUUGCCUGGUAAAAGAAGACUGUGGGACUUGCUCCAUCUGCCGUCUGCAGCUACCCCAUGAUGUGGCAUCAGGACUCUUCUGCAAGUGUGAGCAGAGACGCUGCCUACGGAUUGUGGAGAAGAGCCGAGGGUGUGGAGUGUGUCGGGGUUGUCAGACCCAAGAAGACUGUGGCUGUUGCCGUGUCUGCCUUCGCCCUUCCCGCCCUGGUGUCAAGCGCCAGUGGAGGUGUAUGCAGCGCCGCUGCUUUUGGCACUUUGCUCAUCGCUUCCGUGACCACCCUCAAGGAUGUCACCGACACCCUCCCCAGGUUGUGGUUGCCCCCACUGGUAAACAUAAGUGUCGUAAGAGUGGCUCGAAGGUGGCUGCCCAGAAUGACUCCCAAGCUCAGCCACUGCCUCCACUUCCUGCAUCCCAGCGCCCACAGCCCACGGAGCUGCACAUCAGCGACCUAGCGCCCACAUCACCUGCUGAGUUCAUCUAUUACUGUGUAGACGAGGACGAGCUACAGCACUACACGAAUCACCGGCAGAACCGCAAGUGCGGGGCCUGUGCAGCCUGCCUACGGCGAAUGGACUGUGGCCACUGCGAUUUCUGCUGCGACAAGCCCAAAUUCGGGGGCAGCAACCAGAAGCGCCAGAAGUGUCGUUGGCGCCAGUGCCUGCAAUUUGCCAUGAAGCGGCUGCUGCCCAGUACUGGGUCAGGGUCUGAGGAGGGAACAGUAUCACCUCCACAUCACCGUUGUCGAAGGAGGCCCCGUUCUUCUGGACAAAUGCAUGCGAGCCCUUCCUUAAAAGCACCUUUGCCUGCUCGUACAGCCCCACCAGGCCCUGCCCAGGUUUCAGCCAGGCAGCGAGCAGGUGGAGACUCUGUGCUGCCCCCACCUGACACAGACCUUGUGUUUUUACGAGAAGGUGCCAGCAGUCCUUUGCAGGUGCCUGGCCCUGCUGCAGCUUCCUCAGAAGCUCCAUUACAGGAGGCCCAGUGCUCUGCCCAGAGUUGGGCUGUGGCCUUGCCUCAGGUGAAGCAAGAGAAGGCCGAUGCUCCAGAGGAGUGGGCAGCAGGCACAGCCUUCCUGACUCCAUCCACCAUGCAGCCUGGCUGCCCUAGCAAGGUUGGGGAGGUAGUAGACCCAGAUCUUGUACCUGUGAAACAAGAGCCCCCUGGCCCUGAGGAGGAUAGAGAAAACAGAGAAGAUUGUGUCUCUGCAUCAACCCCAGAGGAGGAGAUAGGAGGGGUUGGCACACCAGUGAUCACAGAGAUUUUCAGCCUGGGUGGAACCCGCCUUCGGGAUGCAGCAGCCUGGUUGCCAAGGUCCAAGGACCUUAAAAAACCUGAAGCUAAAAUGCAGUAGACUGGAGGCUUCUGCUGACUGUAGGACUGGAGGUGAUAUUUGCAGACCGGCUCUAUGAGAAAGAACCUUGAUCUACCAGGUGCUGGGCCCUGGCCUGGUUACAGAGUUUGUUUGUGAAUCAACCCUAAGAGAAAAACCUACAAGCACAAUCGAGGAACAGGCUGCUCAGUCCUUGAAGCUUAGAGGAAGCAAACUGGAAAGCAAGAGAAAGUGUAGAAGGAUGAAAGAACAUCUGCUCCUCCCAAGAUCUCAGUGCAAUGAAAAGCUGGAUGUAGGGGUAGGGGAAGGAUAUAAUUGAAACCACUACAAACCAUUCAAAAAAGCCAUCUUCUUAACACUUGGUUGGUGGCUUCUGGAUGACACCUGGCAGUGUGUCUGAGCAUUUUCUCAGGGAAACAGCAAUUCAGAUGCUACAGAAUAAAGGAGGAGAAGGCAUUGCUGUUUGGUGUGCUCCUCUUUUGGAGCCACUUCCUGAGCACUCACAGUAGCCCUUAGGAAGCCUGAGUGAUAACUGUGCACUUUUGCAGGUGGGUAAACAGAUUCAGAAGAGAUGAACCCAGUGUUAGACAGCUAGUGUUGGUAGAGUCUAGAAAUACACCAGGCUAUAAAAAGCUUUGUUCUUUAAUCCACUAAACUGUUAACUGCAGUCUUUUGUGCAAUAAUGUAUAUUACAAUAACAGUUUUAGUGACUUUGAAAAUAUCAGUGGAUCACUAUGAACACUGCAAGAUAUCCUUUACACUUUUGCCUCUAUUGUGGUUUAGGGAAUGCUGAGGCUAUGGAUGGAUGGGGUCACCUUCUUGUCAGGGCAUUGGCUCAUCUAGAAUCUAGGUUCCCUGAAGGCCCUAGAUGCUGCAUAGGAUCCCUCAACCCAGAAAUUGUGCUUUUCCCCACUGCUGCUGACAAUUUGCUUGAGCCCAAGUGGUCUCACUUUGGCCAGAGCAGUACUUGGAACUAAAGCUGCCAGCCUGGACCGUCUUUUCCUGGCAGCAUCUUUUCUCUGAUGACCUUUAUGUUUAUUUCCUGCCCCUAGCUCAAAUGUUUGUUAGGAGGCUGAAUUAACUUAUGUACUGAGUCCUGCCCAUGGGCUGAUCUUGGCUCAGCCUUACCUCACUUUCCAUACUUAAAUGCCAAAAAGAAAUAUAAUUGGUUACUUAGCCAGCUUUACUGGGCCAGGACUGAGCGCCUCGUCAUACUUUGUGUCCUGUGUGGCCCGCUUGCUGUAGCCUAGCCCCAGCCCUGCUGCUUUAGGUGAUUUCAGAUGUGGAUUUCUCAUUUCUUAUUUCCAACUUAUAAGGCACAGCUCUUGGCAGCUUCUACUCUUCCUUUGCCCUGAUUUGCCUACUUCUGUCCUGGAGUCAUAUUGCUUUUAACCUCUAGAGCACACCACUUGUCCCUAGUAUUCUGGCAAUUCUGCUGGUGUUCUAAGGGUAACAAUGUCUCUGGUUGGCAUUUGACCUGUGAACAAAGAUUGUGGUCACUAUGUGACUAGGGUGCGAUCAAAAAUCAGAACCACUACAACAAAGAAUAGUGUAUGUGUUUUAAGGGAGUUUUGGGAGACAUUUUACAUAAUUUUGGGAGAUCGUUCAGAAGCCUCUAAGGCUGUCAUUUGUAUGUAAUGCUGGAACUUAAAGUAUUCAGGAGAGGCAGUCGGAAGGGAAGGUGGAUGGACACAUGGGAGCUCAAGAACAAGAGUUGAAAUUCAAGAAGAUGACCUGGAACUAUGUCAGUGUCUAACCACCUCCAGCUUCGAUGACAUUUGUGUCUCGCAGAAGAAGCUAGUGUCCUUCAUCAGAGUGAAGUAACAUCUGGCCUAGGAACUAGAGAAGCUGAAGGAAGAGUCCAGGGAAGUAGCAGCUGAAGGCCUGGCUGCAGGACUUGCUAUUUCCCCACACCAAGCACCUGCACUACUGCAUUACCCAAUGGGUCGGGCGAGGGGCUGAGGAUUUAAAAGAAAAUAAGACAGCAGGUCAUUCAUGCUAAGAGAAUGCCGUUUAUUGAAGGAACAGGGGAGCCUUAUAUACAGGCUUACAGCACAGUGGAAAACCAGGGUUGGAAGUUCCAGUUCUGAUAAGCAGGAGGCGUCUCAGCUGGGGGGUGGAAAGAGGAAUUUACUGUCAGGUCAUCUAGGAAGGAGGGUUGCAGGAUGUUCUAGCACAAUAAGCACUUGAUCAACAAGCUGGUCAGCAGAUCCCCCAGGGGUAGGGCCCAACAGUUUUAUGUGUUACUGUUUCUUAGAGAACUAUUUGGUGGUGGUAACAGUGUUGACUACUGUGGAAAAAUUGGGAUUGUGGGUGGCCAGAUGAAGGUCAGUUUUGUCAUUUCUCUAGGCUUCAGACUGGGGUGAUUGCAGGCUGAGGUAAUGUGCGUGCUACUCAUCUACUUUGCAGCCGCUAAGGUUCCUCCAGGCCUAGGCUGUUUGAGAAGACCAUUGGGUAGCUUACGUGCCAGGCACCCUGGGACAGAGCCUGUACCAGCAGUACCUCCUGGUGUACACAGAAGCCAGCUCCACUCUUCAGAGGAUGGUGAAAGUCUAAACUGGGAGUUUCCUUCCCAGGCUGCUCCUUCCCAGUGCUCUGAGCUCAGGAUGGUUUUGAGCUGCCUGCAGGCAGCCGACUGUCUCCAAGGGUCAGUUUCCCCAGGCUGCCCCAAACUCACCAACAGGUCCUCUGUCUACACAAAUCUCAAGGGUGUGGGGCAGGCAGCCCCAAUCUCUGGUGUCUUUCACAAACCCUCUUGGAGGGGUUUCUUUCCUUCUGUGGAAUGUGUGCUGGGGGUGAGGGGAACCUGCCUAAAAGCCAGCACUUAGAGCCACUCAGAUGAAGGAGCUGCCCCUCGGACAUUGUCGGGAAACCCAGACAUCCUCUAAAUUUUUUUCUUUUUUGUUUGUUUCAGGCUACAUAAACUGUUAGCAGUAAAUGAAAAUGAGUAUUUUACUGAACUGCAGUUGAAAGAAGAAGUACUGUAGGAGAGAAAAACAAUUAUUAUUAAGAGAAGAAAGACAUUCUUUUGUGGCUGAAAAGCUGAACCCGGAAUUCAGGAAAUGGAAUCCAAAUCUAGAGAUGUACCGUAUAGAACAUCUGAAGUGGUUGGGUUCCAAAUAAUUAAGCAUGCAAAUUUGAAGAAAACCGACCUUAAGAGGGUAUACACAUGAGUUACAUUCAGAUUAUUAGUGUCUGUCAGUGGCUGACCUUGUUACUGCCCCUCCCCCAUCUACUUUUCUGUUCUUCUGCCCACCACUUAAGAAUGGGUACCAAAGUAGCUUCAACAUUGUAACUAUCUUACUACCAAUGGGAACUACAGCUCUGGUUCCCAUGUGUGCUGAGGACCAUCCAUUUCCCUGGACUAUGUUGCCAGUUUUGCCUGGGAUCUGAUGUUCAAGGAUUGAGUAGCUGACCUUGUGACCCACAGUCCAGGUCCACACUGAUGCCUCCAUUAAGACUUUAUUGUAUUCAACCUCUAAGACUACUUACUGCCCCACCAGUACAUUUGACCUGCUUGUUUCCUGUGUUCACCUAAAGUCUAAGCCCUGUUUUCUGUUCAGUGCAGUGGGAAGAUGCUGUUCACAGAUAGUACGGGUUGUGUGGCUCUAUAUAGCACUUAAGCUCUUUGAGUUUUAAUGGACUUCACUGUAAAAUAAAGCUAAUGAUACCUUCAGGUCUUUCAA